GAGUUAUGAUUUUUAGAUGGGUGCUAACAGGGGCCCAGUCUUGUGUUAAGAUGGGUGCUAACAGGGGCCCAGGUUGUUUAAGAAACGUAACCCUAGGUAGGGCAUAGUGGUGAUUGGCUGCGAGAACAGAUUUGGUUCCUUCCUUGUGUGGUUGCGUCGACUGUAGAUCCGAAUAAAUAAUUUGGUAGCUAUCAGCGGGACACAAUAAGGAGCUGUCUGAAUCACACUGGUUUGCCUUACGCUGGAGGUUAAGGGUAGGAUGGAUCUCAAGGUGAGAUCCUAGAUUUCACAUAAGUUAAAGAAUAGUAAUUGAAAUCAAGCGCCAUUAAUUAUUGCAUUGCCUUCCUUAUCUUGUUAUGUGUAAGUUAUGGGUUUCGGGUAGGUUUUGGCUACUAAGCGUCAUCGCUUACGGUACUAUGUUGCCCUGGUAACUCGAACGCCAGGUACGGAAGACGGAGCGAAAGUGCCGCUCGAGGAGACUAACUUUAACCCUGCUACAGACGGAGGCGAGGAACCCUGGUUGCCGUACGCUUAGAUGCUCUGGCAGAAAAUUUGGUCUUUAAUUUUGAAAGCUUAAAUGUUUAAAUUUGGAAAGUGUAAUAACUUGACUUGUUUGAAAACUUCAAACCUAAUUCGAUAUGGUUGUAAUAUUAUGACGUAUGCUUUUGGAACGUUUGACGCAGUAAAUCGGAUUUAUCUUUUGAGAAAUUGGUCUUUUGAUAUUUACUUAACGUUUCCGAAAUUCGGGGCGUUACAGUGUCCUUCGUUCAAAAGUAAUACCAUUGGUGAAGGUUCAAUGGCGUAAUCAUUCGGAAAGGGAAGCUACGUGGGAGACGGAGGAGUCUAUGCGAAAGAGUUAUCCGCAUUUGUUUGAACUUGGUGAGUAAUUUCGGGGACGAAAUUUCCUAAGAGGGGGAGGGUGUAACAUCCUUUUAUCUUUGAGGUGCUUAAAUGCUAAAUUUAAUAACUUAAGGGCUGGAGUGCAAUUUUUCUUUAAGACUGUGCAUGUGUGCCGUGUGUGUGUGCUGAUGUGUGUGGGUUUCUUUAAAACAAAGAAAGGAAAAAAAAAAGAAGAAGAAGAAAACCCAUCAGGAGGUUUUACGUUAGAGAGAGAGAGAGAGAGAGAGAGAGAGAGAGAGCAAUGGUGGAGGGAGAAGAAGGAGAAGAAGGAAGGAAGAGGGAAUUAAGGAUUAGAACUUGAAUUGAAGACCUUCUUUGGUUCGGAGGCGACAACGAGUACCACAGCUCCACGUAGGGAGUGACAGUGUUGGUUUUCUUUUUUGUUGGAGACCGAGUUUUGCUGGUAUAGGUCGGUGUCCACUACAGGUCGCGUUUUGCAUUUUGUGACUCGCUCGAGAAGUGCGUAGUUGAGGCCUGUGGGAGUCCUUGUCUCCUGGCCCGUAGAUGAUUUUUGCUUAGUUUAGUUUUGGAUAUUAGUUGGUUAUUUUUUAUUUCUUGACAGACUUCCGCUGUAGUUUGUCAAUGACAAUCAUUUUUGAGAUGUAAAUAAAAUGUGGCUGUUAAACUUCAA